GGGGGUAGUUUUUUAGUACGUAGGCGGAAUGGACGGUGAAUCGUGCAUGCCGCUACUAAGAAGUAGCAGUAUCUUUUGAAAGAUUUUCUACCUCC
rfam:Glossina palpalis gambiensis isolate 146720 unplaced genomic scaffold Scaffold3, whole genome shotgun sequence.